rnacentral:rRNA from 1 species
UACGUAGGUGGCAAGCGUUGUCCGGAUUUACUGGGCGUAAAGAGCGCGCAGGCGGUCGUUCAAGUCGCGUGUGAAAGCCCCCGGCUCAACUGGGGAGGGUCACGCGAUACUGAUCGACUCGAAGGCAGGAGAGGGAAGUGGAAUUCCCGGUGUAGUGGUGAAAUUCGUAGAUAUCGAGAGGAACACCGGUGGCGAAGGCGGCCAACUGGACAGAUACUGACGCUGAGACACGAAAGCGUGGGGAGCAAACAGGG